GCCCGAGUGGUGGAAUGGCAGACACGGCGGACUCAAAAUCCGUUGCUCGCGAGAGCGUGAGGGUUCAAAUCCCUCCUCGGGCA
rnacentral:tRNA from 1 species